CACCUCCACCACCAAUGGUACAACCACCUGCACCAGCCCCAUCAGGCCAUUACUAUAGUGCACCACCACCACCAAACCGUUACUCCAACGCCCCACCACCAAGCCAUUACCACAAUACACCACCCUCACCACCAAUGGAGCAACCACCUCGAACUCCAUCAGGCCAUUACUAUAAUAAUCCACCACCACCACCACAAUCACCAAACCAUUACUACAACAUACCUUCGCCACCACCACCAACAAAGAAUAUAUCACCAAGUACCCAUUAUGCACCACCUCCUCCCCCAUCUGUUCAUUAUGUUCCCACGCCUAGUCAUUCAUCUCCUCCACCGCCGCCACCUCAAGUUCAGUAUUUUCCACCUCCUUAUCCGUCAAGAGGGCAGCAAGCAAGUCCACCUCCACCACCAUCUCAUGAGCAUACGGGGACUCAAUCUCCACCUCCACCAGCAGAGUAUCAUCCACCUCCCAAGGAGUCAUGUCAUCCUAUCCCUCCUCCACCCCCACCAGAAUGCACAACUCCCGUAUCAGCACCACCACCGCCAAGCCAACAUUCAACCCCAUCACCAUAUGCACCAGCACCUGGUCAUCACUAUUCAAAACCAUCCCCAC
rnacentral:lncRNA from 1 species